rnacentral:lncRNA from 1 species
GUGUUCUUUCUUUCCAUAUUUGUUCUUUGUCUGUCGCGAUUUCUUUCCUUUGUUUGCAGGUCAGCGUGAGGAUCUCGGUGGCGAGACAAGACUGAGGCGUGGCGUGCUAAUGAUGGCGACGAUCUCGGUGUUGUUUGCGCGCCGAUGGUGGCGCGACAUCCAGUAGCUGAGGUCAAGGAGAAAGUCGUGGCGCUGAUGGAGCCUUGACAUGAGGCUAACAGACGCUCCCCAAAAGUUCUAGAGUUUCGUGAAACGAAAGGGCGCUUAUUGGACAUGACGUUUGAGGCUCCUGAAGCUUCUAGAAUCCUUUGCGGCUCGAGGAGAAAGAGAGCUAGGGUUUCUAACCCUAUAUGAAAGUCAUUUAGGCCCCUACUGUUUGGGCCUUCGAGUUUAUUGGUAUUAGGUGGGUCUGUUUGGGUCUACUGUAAUGGGUCUGGUUUAGGUUUGGGUUACGGGUGCAUUUGGGUACACGGGUAGUGGGAUUUGGUUUUGAAGGUUUUAAAUAUUGGGCCUACGGGUUAAUUUUUUUUGGGCUCUAUAUAUGGACUUUUAAAUGGACAUUUUAAAUAAAUAAAUAAACUUAUUUAUUUAAUUCUUUUAUUCUGUUUUCAGCCCUGUCAAAUUUGGGCUACUACAGCUGCCCAUCUUUGCUCAUUGCUGUGUGACGGGAAUCGAGCAAAGAUUUAGAAAGACGAAAUUUGACCGGUCUUAUCAAAUCAUGGUCUUCAAUCUGCUUCUAGUAAACUUAUGACUGUCAUGUUGAUAUCUUCGAUCUGCUCUCUGCCGAACACAGAGACGCCAAAUCUACUUCUUCGAUUUAUUUUCUGACAAUACAAAGAUGCCAAAUCAUAUUAGAUUUGCUUCAGCGUAAGCAUGCGAAAACCAAAUCAGCUAUGUCUUCGAUUUGCUCCUUGUGAGCACAAGGAUACCAAACCAUCUUGGAUCUACUUUAGUCUAAUCAUCUGAAGGUUAGAUCUGCUAUGUGUCUGCCCUCCGUCGAAUAUGGAGACACCAAACUUCGAUUUGUUCUCUGGCAAUACAGAUAUGCCAAAUCAUCUUAGAUUUGCUUCAUCGUAAGCACGUGAAAGCCAAAUCAGCUAUGUCUUCAAUUUGUUCCUUGUAAGCACAAGGAUGUCAAACCAUCUUGGAUCUUGCUUUAGCCAGAUCUGCUAUGCUGCAGUCUAUUACCCUACUGCUUAGGGGAUUAAGGCGCGUCGUCUUUGAUAACUUGUAGAAUGAUUAUGCCUAAUGAUUAGGAUGCUAUGAUCGAAGUGAGUCGAAUGUUCCUAAUUAAACAUGUUAUGAUGCAAAAUGUUGUGAACAUGACCCCUAUCCUAGACGUCACCACUCAUUCCUUCAUUUUUCUCAAAGUAUUAUUCUUGCUCAGCCUGUAGGCCUGUUCCCUUCCUCAAAUGCUACGAUCCACUGAGGAUGUCUGUAAGAUAAUCUUUCCUUAGAAUUGAAUCAUUGGUUUUGUCCAUUUUCCUUUUGGACUGGAAGAAAGAAAUUCCUCGAGUUCCUUCAUCCUUUACUUAUGUGAAUUUCUUGAACAAUUGUCCUGUUUUAGUUUCUUGUAUUAUCUAGAAAUUCCAGAGUAAUGCGCAAAACUUCGUUUGUGAACAUAUUUAGUUCAUCUAUCAUUAUUUCAAUGCAACAUACUUAAAGAAUAAUGGAAGAUAAAUAAAUCUCUAAGAAUAAUUGGAUUUGAAUGAAUUAUCGAAAAAGAUACAAAGGAAAUUAAUCUGAAAGCCUAUCUUUGAGAAGAAAAAAAAUUUUAAAGAUAGCAAACAGGCCAAAAAUUAGAUGCCCUAGAUAUCGCCGCUUGAGCGCUUAUAUAUCAACUUCAUGAAGGCAUGUGUUUAGAAGAUUCAAAGUACUCUGUCGAUGCCCCAGUAUGCAACGUUCUUCAUUCUUUGUUGAGUAAGAUUACUAGAUGCUUCAAAAUUUGAGUCGCCCUUUCAGGUUUUCAACUCGAAACCCUUUUGGUCAAAGACGCCUUUUGCGGGUUUUCACCUUGGCCUCUCCAUUUUUCUCUUUUUUCCUUUUCUCUCUUUUUUUAUUUUCUAUUUUUUGUUUUCUUUUGAUUUUCAAAACCUCAAAGUGCCCUUUGUGGGUUUUCACCUUGGAUUCUCUUCUCCUUUAGACAAAGUAUUUUUUAACUGAGUCUAAGUUCAUUGGGUUGGGUAAAAUUUUCCCAUCCAUUUUCGUUAAGAUCAAUGCACCACCAGAGAAAGCUUUCUUCACGACAUACGGCCCCUCCCAAUUCGACAUCCAUUUCGCCCUAAAGUCUUUUUGAAUAGGAAGGAUCUUUUACAGUACAAGGUCUCCCUCGUGGAACUUUCUUGGUCGAACUUUCUUAUCAUAAGCUCGCAUCAUUCGCUUCUGAUAUAUCUGACCAUGUCGAAUGGCUCUUAGCCUCUUUUCCUCAAUCAAGUUCAAUUGGUCAUAUCGGGAUUGAACCCAUUCAACUUCAUCUAACCUUAUCUCCAUCAAAAUUCGAAGAGAAGAUAUUUCUACUUCAAUAGGUAACACUGCUUCUAUCCUAUAAACUAACGAGAAUGGGGUUGCCCCAGUAAAGGUUCUGACAGAUGUUCGAUUGGCCAGGAGUGCAAACGAUAACUUCUCAUGCCAAUCUCUAUAGGUCUCAGUCAUCUUCCCCACUAUUUUCUUAAUGUUCUUGUUGGCGGCCUCCACUGCCCCAUUCAUUUUUGGAUGAUAGGGAGAAGAAUUGUGAUGCUUGAUCUUGAACUGGUCGCAAACCUCUGCUAUCGUUUUAUUGUUUAAGUUCAAUGCAUUGUCGGAUAUGAUCUUCUCAGGCAUUCCAUACCGACAAAUGAUCUCCUUCUUCAAGAUAAAUCGAUGUCCAUGCGAAGCUUUCGGUGAUAUUGGUCCAAUGACAUCUAUGCCUCACAUGGAGAAGGGCCAUGGAGAAGUCAUAACUUGCAAAGGUGAAGGUGGUAAAUGAAUUUUGUUCCCAUAAAUCUGACACUUAUGGCAUUUCUUGGUAUAGUUGAUACAGUCCCUUUCCAUAGUGGCCCAAUAAUAACCAAACCUCAUGAUUUGCCUUGCCAUCGUGAACCCAUUUGCAUGCGUCCCACAUACACCUUCAUGAACUUCUUCUAAAAUUAGCUUAGCUUCCACAGCAUCGACACAUCUCAAAAGUACUUGGUCUUUCCUUCUCUUGUACAGGAUAUCCCCGUCCAGGGUAUUUACGAUCUCUCACAUAUCAUAAUAUAUCCUGAUACCAAGGGUUAUCGUCCUUUUCUUCCUUCUCAAUGUUACAACAAUGAGCUGGAUCCUCGUAGACACUCAUUUGAAUUGGUCUCAUCUCUUCCUCUUUAUUCGCCUUAAUCAUUGAGGCCAAGGUUGCUAAAGCAUCUGCCAUCUGAUUUUCGUCUCGUGGGAGAUAAUUGAAGGUGAUGUCAUCGAACUCCUCAAGUAACCUCAAAACUACCUUUCGAUAAUUGAUCAAUUUAGGGUCCCUUGUCUCCCAUUCACCUCUAAGCUGAUAAAUUACCAACGCAGAAUCUCCAUAUACUUUUAGGGUUUUUAUACCUCGCUCUAUUGCUGCUUGAAGUCCCAUGAUGCAUGUUUCAUACUCAUCCAUAUUAUUCGUGCAAUCAAAGCCCAACUUGCAUGUGAACGGGUAAUGAUCGCCAUUUGGGGAUACCAAGACUGCCCCAAUUCUAUUUUUGACUGCAUUAGAAGCCUCAUAAAAAUUUAGCUUCCAAGGAGAAUCUUCGGUCGUUGCUAUACACAUUAACUCCUCAUUUGGAAAAUCAAAGUUCAAUGGCUCAUAAUCCUCUAGAGCCCUACUGGCCAAGAAGUCUGCUACCGCACUUCCUUUUAUAAACUUCUGACUUAUGUAGACUAUAUCAAACUUUGAAAGCAAAAUUUACCAUCUCGCCAUUCUCCCAUUUAGAGCCGUUGACUCCAUUAUGUAUUUCAAUGGAUCAAGCUUUGGGAUGAGCCAAGUGGUAUGGUAUAACAUGUACUGUCUUAAUCUCCGAGUUGUCCAAAUCAGCGCACAGCACAACUUUUCAAUUGGUGGAUAUCUCAUUUCACAGUCAGUGAAUUUCUUACUGAGAUAAUAAAUUGCCUUCUCCUUUUUCCUUGACUCGUCAUGCUGACCAAGCACACAUCCCAUAGAAUUACUGAACACUGACAAGUACAGUAUUAACGGUUUAUCUGGGCUAGGUGGAGAUAAUACCGGAGCAUUCAACAAAUACUGCUUGACCUUUUCAAAAGCAUUCUGACACUCCUCAUCCCAAGUACCUUGAUUGUGCUUUCUGAGGAGGCGAAAGAUAGGAUCACAUUUCUCAGUUAGUUGUGAAAUGAACCGAGCGAUGUAAUUCAACCUUCCUACGAAUCCUCGAACUUCUUUUUGAGUUUGUUGUGGAGGAAAUUCUCGUAUUACUUUGACUUUGUCUGAAUCAACUUCUAUUCCCUUUUCACUGACUACGAAACCCAAUAGCUUUCCCGAUCUAGCUCCGAAGGUGCACUUUGCCGGAUUGAGCCUCAACUGAAACUUUCUCAACCUCAAGAAUAGUAUUCUCAAAACUUCAAUAUGCUCUUUCUCUGUUUGGGACUUAGCAAUCAUGUCAUCAACAUAUACUUCAAUGUCCUUAUGAUCAUGUCGUGAAACAAGUUCACCAUGGCCCGCUGGUAGGUUGCCCCAUGCGUUCUUCAGUCCAAACGACAUUACUUUGUAGCAAAAAGUACCCCACAAGGUUAUGAAGGUGGUUUUAUCCGUGUCCUCUAGAUGCAUCUUUAUCUGAUUGUACCCCAAGAAACCAUCCAUGAAGGAAAACAACGAAUGUCCCGCCGUGUUGUUUACCAAAGUGUCGAUGUAUGGCAAAGGAAAGUUGCCUUUUGGGCUAGCUUUAUUCAGAUCUCUGUAAUCAACACACAUUCGCACCUUCCCAUCCUUCUUAGGGACCGGCACAACAUUAGCUACCCAUUCGGAGUACUUGACCUCUUGUAAGAAUCCUGCAUCGAACUGCUUCUUAACCUCAUCUUUUAUUUUUAGAACAAUGUCUGACCGCAUUCUCCGCAACUUCUGUUGGACUGGUUUGCAAUCCUGUCUUAUCGGAAGAUGAUGUACUACAAUGUCGAUACUCAAUUCGGGCAUAUCUUGAUAUGACCAUGCGAAGAUAUCCUUGAACUCUCGAAGCAACUAAACCAGACCAUGCCUAGUGUCCCCGGUAAUCAGUGUUCUAAUUUUCAACUCAUUCUCUUCCUCUAGGGCUACAUUUUCUAUUACCUUUUUCUCAUCCGGGAUAAUUCGUUUUUCCUCCUGUUUUACCAUUCUUAACAGAUCUGGAGACACAUCACAAUCUUGAACAUCUUCAAAAUCCUGAGAUUCCUCUAAACACAUGUCUUACUCGCAAGAGAAAUCAAGAGUUGCGGUAUCAGUGCUCAUAUCAUUGAUAUCUAGGGACCUGUGGGGGUAUGAAAGAAUAUACAAAGAAUGAAUGAAUCUAAGAAUGAUCGUUUAUGUGCUAUGAAUGAAAGAAUGAGAAUUGCAAAAGUUUAACGAAAUAUUGAUUGAUAAAAAGAAAUUAUAUUCGUCCAAAUUGAUAAUAAAGUUAUGUUUUAUUAAAAUAAUAAUAGAUGAUCAUAAGCCUUUUUCACAAACGUAAUCUUACUACUCCUAGGACCUAGAGUAACAAGCAUGUUUCGAGAAUUACUCUGAAAAAUUCCUAAAGACUACAGGAAGGUCAUCCGCAGUCUAAUUGUUCAGAGAGCUCCCCAGUUCGUAAGGGUGAAUGCCCUCGAGGCUUCCUUACUCCAAUCCCUCAUUGUGUACAGCAUUAAUUUGAUGACUUUCUUCUACCAGUAACCCUCCUAACUUAAAGGAUUUGGAUAUAGAUGGGAAUGUCAUCGGUUCCCACUCUACUUCUCUUCCGUUCAAACGCGCCUUUCUUUUCACUUGGCGCUUCUCAAUCUCUUGCCUCCGGUCCUUAUGGUCUGGCUUGAAGCCCAAACCAAAGCGAUCUUUCUUCUCAAUCAAUUUUGGGAUUUGAACCCCUCCUUGCAACUAUCUUUCUAGUCCUUUUCCUGGUAAUACUCCCUUCCCCAUCAUCAAUUGCAAGGCCAUCCUUGUGGCUGUAGACAUUUUGGGUACCGGCACCUCACUUCCUUCCAAAAUGAAAGUUGCAUUGAUGAUUUCUAAAGAGCGGAAAGAACACUCAAUAGCUUCUUCAUUCGCCUCAACAUAAGGGGCCUUGCUAGUGACUGCUGCUAUAAUGUCCUCCUUCGCAUUGAUGGUUAUUAACCGUCCAUCUGUCAUUAACUUCAAUUUUUGGUGCAAUGAGGAUGGCACCGCUCCUGCCGAGUGUAUCCAUGGUCUCCCCAAUAAACAAUUAUAGGAGGGCUUGAUAUCCAUCACCAAGAAAUCAACUUCAUAUGUAUUUGGCCCAAUUUCCAAAGGGAUGUCAAUUCGUCCCAUCACUUUCCUUUCGGUUCCAUCGAAGGCUCUUACCACAUUGUGACAUGUUUUCAUAUGCGAACUGUCAAUGGGUAAUUUGUUCAAUGUGGAUAAUGGAAGGACGUUCAAAGCCAACCCGUUAUCAACGAGUACACUUAGAAGCGUGUAUCCCUUGCACCGAGUAGUGAUGUGCAAGGCCCUGGUUGACCCUAUGCCCCUAAGUGGAAUUUCAUCAUCAUUGAAGUAGAUGAAAUUUUUAGCACUAAUGUUAUUCACCAACCGGUCUAGCUUGUUAACGGAUAUGUCGUGGGUGACAUAUGUUUCGUUAAGUACCUUCAACAAUGCAUCCCGAUGCACCUCAAAGCUCCGAAGUAGGGCUAAUACUGAUAUACGUACUGGCUGCCUAUGCAACUGCUCGACCACACUAUACUCGCUAUGCUUAAGGAACUUUAGAAACUCCUUAGCCUCCUCCUCCUUUACUGGCUCCUUGAUAGGCACUUCAACCUCUUUCUUCUUUUCAACGUCAAUAUCCUUUGUUUUCACGGGCUCCACUCUGAUGCCCCCUCAUCAUAGCGCUUCCCACUUCGUGUAUGGGAACCUUCAUUUUGCACGCCCCUAGAUGCACUGGCUAUACUCUCCCCCUCAGGUACUGUUACACUGCAGUCAUAGCUCCAUGGCACCUUCUUAUCAUCCUUGUAAGAGAAAGGAGUAGGUUUAUGGAUGACGACCUUGGGCCCGAUUUGCGCCCCCACUUCAUUAUUCCUCGGCAAGGAAAUAAUAAUUCUUGGUCGGCUGUUUCCUUGUUGUUGAUUUUCCAGCACACAUAUUUGUCUUUUGCAAGAACUACCCUGAAAAAUCUGUAGCUCUUUGUUAACCAUAAAGGCUUGCACCAUUGCCUUGAACUCUUCACAAUUUUGGAUCAUAUGACCCACCUCUCCAUGGAAUUCACAAUAGUUCCCUAUUCUUUCUCUACCUUUUCCAGAGGUCAACAUACCUCUCUUCACCAUCUCCUCCCAUAUUACUUUCAUGGGUGUCUUCACCUUAGCAACAUCUUCCUUGACUCUUUCUUCCCUAGUUUCAUCAAUGGCAUUCACUCCUUAAUUGCCAUGAUCUGGUAAUGGAUUUUCAGCAUUAUGGGUACUGUCAAAUUUCACAACCCCCAUCUUGAUAAGCCUCUCCACAGCCUUUUUGAAUCCGGUGCAGUUUUCAAUCGAAUGCCCCGGUAUUCCCGCAUGAUAUUCGUAUUUAGCAUUUGCAUCAUACCAUUUGAGGUAUGGUGGCUGUAGCGGUUUCAAGUGAAAUGGAGCAAUAGCAUGUGCAUCGUAUAAACUUUGAUAAAGCUCACGAUACAUCACAGGGAUAGGCGUGAAUUGCAUCCUUUCCGAAUUCUGUCUUGUGCCCGAUUCCUGUCUUUGAGUACUUUGUUGCUCGACCGCGGCUACUUUGGGUUGACCAACUAUGAUUACCCUCGAGUUGAAACUAUUCAUGUUAUUCACCUCGUUGUCCUUUCUCCUUGGGGCUGAUCUUUUAGCCAUUUCCCCCUCAAUUUUACCACCCCUUAUGGCGUUCUCAAUCAUCUCUCCUGCCAUAACUAUAUCCGCGAAACUUUUCAUGGUGCUUCCAAUCAUGUGAGUGAUGAACGGCGCUUUCAAAGUGUUGAUAAACAACAUGGUGGUCUCCUUUUCUAACAGUGGUGGUUGUACUUGCAUUGCCACUUCCCUCUAUCGUUGUGCGUAUUACCUAAAACUGUCAUUAGGCUUUUUCUCCAUGUUUUGAAGUGUGAUCCUGUCCGGCGUCAUAUCAGUCACAUAGUUGUACUGUUGCAUGAAGGCUUGUGUAAGAUCUCUCCAUGAACCGAUUCUUGCACGGCUCAACUGAUUGUACCACCUAGCCGCUACUCUUACUAAGCUAUCUUGAAAACAAUGGAUCAAUAGUUGAUCAUUGUUCACAUACCCAGUCAUUCUCCUACAAAACAUUGUUAUGUGUGCCUCUGGGCAAGUAGUCCUGUUGUACUUUUCAAACUCCGGCAUCUUAAAUUUGUGAGGAAGCACCAAGUCUGGGACCAAACUUAAGUCUUUGGCAUCAAUAUGAUGAUUGUCAGUGCCUUCCAAAACCCUAAACUUCUCCUCCAACCACUUGCAACGAUCCUCCAACUGUUUUGAGGAUUCAGUUACCAUUCUUUCCUUCUCCAUCAUAUCUAGGUUAGGAGUGAUAGGGUUGAUCGGGCUAUCGCCUAAAUUAUUUCUCGACCCCAAUAGGAAAUUCACGGGGAUUACAGCAUCAACCGGCCCAUGUUGAGGCCUUACAGUGACAGAUGGCCUUCUAGGAGGUGCCUUGGUUUGUAGUGGCACAUGAGGCGGAGUAAAACUCGGAGGAUGAUCCUCACCUUCCUCACCAGUGAUAGCCACGGGAGCUUUCCCUUUAUCAGUGGCCCUUAGCAGCUGAACCAUUUCAGCCAUCAUAUUCCUCUAAGCCUCUAGCAUUUGCUCUCUCAUGUCAUUCUGCAUUUUGGCCAAUUGCUCUUGCAAUUGGUCUUGCAUAUCCUUUUGCAAUUGUUCGAACCUUUGAUCCAUACUCUUAGUUUUAGUGCGAGUGUCGUAAGGAUGUGUGAUUUCCAAAUUUUCUUUUCUACCUUUGGAAGUAAACUUUAACUAAUUAGGGUAUUUCUAUAACUUUGAAUGCAUAUGAUGUGAUGUAAUGCAAAUGCAUGAAUGCAAAAAGGCAUCGAUCUCGAUUCAAUCUCAUUUAGAAAAUUUUAUUUAGAAAAAGAAUAUCUUUACAUAUAAAUGGAUUACAUAUGCGCCUUUGCCCUAAUGCCCAAAGUUCUAACUUUAUCUAAUAAAAGGGCUAACUCUCGACCUUUAUCAGACACUGACUCAUACAUCAUACUCAACGCAUCAGCUCGUACUGUUAAGUCUCGAACAUAUUCAGCAAUCUCUCGGACCUGGGCUAUAGCCUCCCCAAUAAUGUAAUCCCUAUCUCUGACUUGACAUUUAACUUGAUGGAGCUCUCCUUUUAUACAAUCUUCUUGCGCCUCGAGCUGCUCAAUCUGAAGUUCACCAUCAUGCAAUGCCACUUCCGAAUCUUCAACCUUACUUUUUAGUUCCUUUAACUCGACUGUAGGAUCAUGGUUUCGGUGCCGACGAAGGGAUCUUCCAAGCUCAGUUACCUUAGUCUUCAACCCUUUAUUCUCUUUCUUUAAUGGAAAAUUCUGUGACCGCAUCUCUUGGAACUUCCUCUCCCAAUACUCAGCUCUAGCUCUUUCCUCUUGAACUUCUUUCUACCACACCACUCGCUUUAAAGAUACUUGUGCCUUCUUAUACUCCUCUUUUAAAUCAUCUCGGUCUUCCUCAAUCUUCCUCUUUUCCUUCCUAACUUUUUCAACCUCCUUCUUUUGCAGGUCAACAUCUAGACUCAGGUACAUCUUCUCCUCCUCAAGCUUUUCUAUCUUCUUUCCGAGUUCCAAAUUCUUUCUCUUAAAUUCUUGCUUCAUGAUAUCAAGCUCCGAGGGUAUCACUUGUAGAUAUUCCUCCAUUGGUCAAACUUCCUCCAUUUUUGUCCUAGGGACAUUAUCGUUAAUCCUUCUAUUCCUCCACUUGACAUAUUCCGAUGUUGUAGCAGGAUUAAUGGCCACUCCCUUCAAUCGACAAGUCUUGUUCCAAGCACUAGAAACCUCGCUAACCUUCCUCUUGUAAUCGGCUCCUCUGUAUACAAACUCACUUUGAGCCAACCCAUGAGUCGCUGGUACGAACUGUUUCAAUCCAUGUUGCCUCAGCACAAGUAAAGGGGCAUAACCAAUGGCACCCCAAAUUCCUAAUAGGGGAACGCAAUCAAAGCUGCCGCAUCGAUAAAGUAUCUCACCAGGAACCAUCUAUGGAGCUCUCCACUCAACAUCCUCCGACUAAUGAUUCCGAAGUAAUGCUAUCCAAUUCUCUUCCGGCAUAUCCACUUUUCUGGAUGAGGCUACUAUAUCUUUCAUUGGGGAGUAGUUCUCAAAGAAAACUCGACAAACAAUUCCAUCAAUCAAUUGGAAGUGACUGUAGAACCAAGUAAAAAGUAACUGAGCACACCCUAUAAACCUGCCUGCACUAGCCCUCCUACAUGCACCUAAGGACCUGAAAGUCUCCACCAAAAUUGUAGGGACAGAAGUGACCUUUUUACUGAGUCGAUGAAAAAGAUCCGUUGUUGCCUCGUCCACAUAUCCCAAAGCCCUAGGGAAAACCAUCAGUCCAUACAAACUUAAGGCAAAAAUGUCUACCUUCUUCGUCUCAUUGAGGUGUGUCAAAAUCAGAUCUUUCAAAGCGUCCCACGAAAUGCACUUGUAUUCACCCUUCUCUUUAAUUCUGGCCGUGAUCCAGUGCUCGCUCAUCCCCGUAAUGGUCAUUAAUUUCUUCCAAAAGGUAGGGACACAAGCAGCUCGAGAAUAGAUCCUAUCACUUUGAAACCUGGGACAACGAAGUAAGGCAGUGUACUCCUCUACGGUAGGAAGUCUACUUUCCCAAAAGUGAAGCAACUGUACGCCGGGUUCCAAAACUGAGCAAGGGCUCGGAACAAGUGCUCAUCUACCUGAAUAUCAAGCAAGUAAGGUAAAUCUCCGUAAUUAUCGUAGAAUAACUGCUUGGUCUCAUUGCCCCACUGAUCCCAAAUUUCCUUAAGCUCUUGGAGAUUAUUCUGUGUGACACUAAUACGAGUAUAAUCUGACAGCUCUGGCACAUAUCCCAUAGUUAUACUGUCUCCCUUUUCUAGCUGAGUUUGCUCUGACCAUCUAUGAACAUCGGCAUUGCCCUCCACUCUAUCAAAAAGUCCGUUCUCCAUAAUAAAACUUCCUAACUUAGAGACUGAUCGUGAAUCGAUACCUUUGUAAAUGCAAAAUGACAUACAAACAAAAGAAAAGAAAUAGUCAGUAUCACAUGAUAUCAAUAAAUCCCAACGAUAAUUUAUAAGGGUAAUAUCUAAAGUAUAGCUCUGACUAAGUUGGGCUCUUACGGUUUUUCUAUAUGAGGUUGGUUCUAAAGUUUGAGGUACCCGAACCAGCAGAUUCCUCGAUUCUCACCCAUUAUAUGCUCAUUUGAAACGAGUUUAGUUCAGGGGAAUACAUUUCCCUAUAGCUAUAUGGAGAUGAAAAUCUCACAAAACCAUAGGUACGGAUAUAUCCCGAAAGUGAUCUACUAUCCUACACGGAGGCAAAAACUUCACGAAGGCGUAGUUUCUCACUCCCACUUUAGGGUGCGACCACAACGGUCAUGCAAAUGCAAUGCACAUCAUAAUUUAGCGAUACAUGCAAUAAUACAAACACAUGUAAUGCAAAAGGAUUGAAUUUCAAAAUUUUCUAAAUUUUCGACAUUAGGACAAAAGGGUAAUCAACUAUACGGCUUGGCUCUCUUGAUCUCCCCAGCGGAGUCGCCAAGCUGUCGAGACCAUUUUUUAAAUCGAGUUUUAGAAAAUGGGAAUCGACUUUAAGAAAAACAAAAACAGGAGUCGCCACCAAUAUUUUUAGGUGUGAUUGGAUCACCUUAUAAAAUGUUUUGUUUAAAAAUCAUUAGUUUCGAUCUACGAAAUCAAAAAAUGGGUUCGGAAGUCGGUUACAUACGAGAAAUGAUUAGCACCCUCGUAACGCCCAAAAAUUGGUACCUAAUUGAUUAUCAAAAUGUCUUUAAUGUUGGAAAUUUUUAAAAAAAUUUAAGAUGCAAUCCUUUUUUUAAAUAUUUUUGACUUUGAAAAUUAAGGUUCACUUGUAUCAAAUGAAUCAAAAUAUUACAUCCAAUAAGUUAGGACACAAUAUUUUUAAGACAUUUGACACUAAGUUAGUCCUUUUGAAAAUCCCUAUCUCGAAACAACGAAACGUCAUAUCCAAUAAGUUAGGACACAACGCUCUGAAAUUCCAAGACAGUUGCUUGCAUUUUGAAAACCUUAAAAACUUAGAAGGGUGCUUGAUUAUUUGAACUCAACGAGGAAAGUUGCAACCCAGUAAGUUAGGGCACUAAUUUUCUCGAAACUUUCAAACACCAAGCAUUGCCUUUAUUUUUUGAAAACUUUAGAGUCUUGUUUUUAAAAUCGAUGCAUGAAGGAGCAUAUACGAGAUAAGAUGUUAUAAUAAUAGGUAAAUAAAAGCACAAUAGCAUAAAUAUCAUACAUUAACUAACAUAUAUAUAUAAGAAAUAAAACAUGGCAAAUUUUAAAUAAGUAAAAUAUAAAAAAAACAAUAUAUAUAUUUAAGAAAAGUAGGUAAAAACACAUAAACAUGUAAUUCAACAUAUAUUUAAACAUAUUAAUAAAAAAUGAUGCAUGAUAUACAAUUUAACAUAAACAUUCCUAAAAUAAUAUCAACAUACAUGUCAAUUCUAAAAUAUGACCUUUAAUAAUAAUCACAAAACAGUAUUUAAUAUAUAAAUGAUAUGUUCAAUAUAUGUGAAAGAAUUAAUGUAUAUUAAAAUGUAAUAUAAGGUAAGUAAUUAUUGAUAAAAUAUACCUAAAUUAUAAAUUUAAAAAAAAUGCUUAAAAUAAGUUAUGUAUAAUAAUAUAAUAUGAAUAAAAUAAGGAAAUAUAAAAUAAUAAUAUGAAUAAUAUGAUCUCGGCGUUGUUUGCGCGCCGAUGGUGGCGCGACAUCCAGUAGCUGAGGUCAAGAAGAAAGUCGUGACGCUGAUGGAGCCUUGACAUGAGGCCAACAGACGCUACCCGAAAGUUCUAGAGUUUCGUGAAAUGAAAGGGCACUUAUUGGACAUGACGUUUGAGGCGCCUGAAGCUUCCAGAAUCCUUUGCGGCUCGAGGAGAAAGAGAGCUAGGGUUUCUAACUCUAUCUGAAAGUCAUUUGGGCCCCUGUUGUUUGGGCCUUCGAGUUUAUUGGUAUUAGGUGGGUCUGUUUGGGUCUGCUGUAAUGGGUCUGGUUUAGGUUUGGGCUACGGGUGCAUUUGGGUAGUGGGAUUUGGUUUUGAAGGUUUUAAAUAUUGGGCCUACGGGUUAAUUUUUUUUGGGCUCUGUAUAUGGACUUUUAAAUGGACAUUUU